rnacentral:lncRNA from 1 species
UGCCCACAGAAACAAACUAAACCUGACAGGACCCAUUCCCUGGAAUUUCACCUGCUCCGGCUCCUCUUUGCAGGAAAUGGGAAGGGGGGGACCCGGGCGUGGCCAACCAGAAGACCCCCACCAGCCUCCUGCUGACCCCGGAGGGGACAUUCCACAGCUUCGGCUACACCGCCCGCGAUUACUACCACGACCUGGACCCCGAGGAGGCCCGCGAGUGGUUCUACUUCGAGAAGUUCAAGAUGAAGAUCCACAGCACCAGCGAUCUGACCAUGAAAACCGAGCUGGAAGCUGUCAACGGGAAGAAGAUGCCGGCGCUGGAGGUGUUCGCCCACGCGCUGCGCUUCUUCAAGCAGCACGCCGUGCAGGUGGGGCCACCUCCAUCCCUCCUCCUCCUCCUUCCCAAAUGGAAUCCUCUCUGUCCUCUCCAUGCCUUCCAUGGGAGAGUGGGGAGGCCCUGGAAUGGAAUUCCCAGAUUUGCUGUGGCUGCCCUGUCCCUGGAAGUGUCCAAGACCAGGUUGGACAAUGGGGCUUGGAGUGACCUGGGAUAGUGGGAGGUGUCCCUGGAUGGGAUUUAAGGUCCCUCCCAACCCAACCCAUUCCGUGAAUCACCAGGACCCCCCAGGGGUCACAUCCUGCCAGGGGCACCCGAGCUGGGAAAGAACUUUCAUGGCCCCAAAAUGGUCAGAAGUUGGCUUGGUGGGAGAUGGUUCCUGACAGCAGCGGGAGGAAUGUGUGGGGUGAGGAUAUUCCAAGGGAUGGAGCGGAGGCAGGCUGGGAGAGCUGGGAAUGCUCCUCUGGAGAAGGGAAAAAUCCCCAGGUGUCACCUCCUGCUUGUCUCCUGGCAGGAGCUGAAGGACCAGUGCCCGUCCCUGCCUGAGAGCGACGCCAUCCGCUGGGUGCUCACCGUGCCGGCCAUCUGGAAGCAGCCGGCCAAGCAGUUCAUGCGGGAAGCAGCCUACAAGGUGGGGGACACUGGAGGGUGACCACGUGGUGACCCUCACGGGGAUUGUGGUGUCCAGGGUAUCCCCUUCUCCCCUCUGAAUUCCCACUGCCAGAGGGUAGCAUUAGGUGGGAUAUCGGGAGGGAAUUCCUGGUUGGGAGGUGGGGAGGGGCUGGGAUAGAAUUCCCAGAGAAGCUGUGGCUGCCCCUGGAUCCCUGGAAGCGUCCAAGGCCAGGUUGGAUGAAUUUGGAUCCACCUGGGAUAGUGGGAGCUUUCCCUGCCCAUGGAUAAGGUGGGAGUAGGAUAGGAUUUAAGGUUCUUUCCACCCAAACCCAAGGGAUUUAAGGUCCUUCCAACCCAAAAGUUGUUGGGUGAGAGGGUGGAUAAUUUUCCAGGUAGGUGGUUAAGAGGAUGAUUGGGUGGUUGGUUGAAUUUUUCAGUGGUUGGUGGUUGGUUUGGUGCUCAGGGUCAUUGCUUGAGCAGUUGUCUGUUUGAGUGGUUAGGUUGUUGGUCGAUGUCUCAGUUCAGCAGUUGGUUGGUUGAGUGGUUGGGUGGGUUGUUGGUUCGGAGGUUGGUUAGGUGGCUGCUUGAGCAGUUU